rnacentral:tRNA from 1 species
GGGAUGUGGCGGAACGGUAGACGCGAGGGACUUAAAAUCCCUUGGUAGUAAUACUGUGAGGGUUCAAAUCCCUCCAUCCCC